UGGGGAAUUUUGCACAAUGGGGGAAACCCUGAUGCAGCGACGCCGCGUGAUUUAGAAGGCCUUCGGGUUGUAAAAAUCUUUUCUAUGGGAAGAAAAUGACAGUACCAUAGGAAUAAGGACCGGCUAAUUACGUGCCAGCAGCCGCGGUAAUACGUAAGGUCCGAGCGUUGUCCGGAAUCAUUGGGCGUAAAGGGUACGUAGGCGGGUAAGCAAGUUAGAAGUGAAAUCCUAUAGCUCAACUAUAGUAAGCUUUUAAAACUGCUCAUCUUGUGGUAUGGAAGGGAAAGUGGAAUUCCUAGUGUAGCGGUGAAAUGCUCAGAUAUUAGGAGGAAUACCGGUGGCGAAGGCGACUUUCUGGCCAUAACCUGACGCUGCGGUACGAAAGCGUGGGUAGCAAACAGG
rnacentral:rRNA from 1 species